CGUCCCUGUCCCUCCCGCAGACGCACGAAAAAAAACCAACCAGAAAAAAAACCAAGAAGAUGCCCGACCUGCCACGCCCGAUACAUCCUCCUCUGCUCGCACCACCACCGCCCCGAUCUCUCUCUGCCAGCGCCGCCUCCUCCUCCUGCUCCUCGCACACACCCGCCUAGAUCCGCCUCCUCCUCGCACACGGCCCGCCCCGAUCCGCCGCCUCCUCGUACUGGCGCGAGGCCGGGGGGCGCGAGGACGAGGCCGAGUUGCGCGCCGCGCGCACCACCAAGGAGGAGCAGCGAGCGGAGAGGAGGAGAAAGGAGUUCGAGGGCUAACCUCCCCUUACCGCGCCUCCCUCCUCGCUCAUCUGUAGAAGGCAACGCUCGCGGGCCAGAUUCUCCGGGCGCCGGCCAACAAGGAGUAGCAAGCGGGGAGGGAAGAAGGAGGUCGACGGCGCCGGCGAGUUGUCUUGCGGUGGGUGCGGACGGAGCAGGCUCGGGCUCCCUGCCUCUCGCCCGAUGGACACUCGGAAGACGACGCAGCCACGGAGCUGGCUCGCCUCCACCACCGGCGCAAAAGACCUUUGACAAAAAUGUCUCUGCCUCCAAGGCAACCUUCUGCGAAAGGAAAAGAAGGUCUUUGCUUUGCGCCCGUAGCACCAGACUUGAAUAUUAUCAGAAGAUUUUCAAAGGAAAGUUGUGGUAAAUGUAAAAGGAGUGUCUGCAUUUGACUGAUUCAUCUCAAUUUUAGUUUGGUUUUUGAAGACAUGUCGAAGAGAUAUAAGGAUAUGGACUGUACAACAUUAAUGUUACUUUUUUUGUCAUUUGUAAGAUUGAUUUGCUUUGUGCAAGUUUUUUGCUUUAAUCCACUUCAGUGAAACAAUUACUUAUUAACUAGAAAUCAACCAUGGCUGUCUGUAGAGGCCAGAGGAGAACUCAUGUCUUGGUCAUGUUACAGCUGUUGGGUCAAGGAGGUGCUCGUUGAACCACGGGGGGGUGCAGAUCAGAGACUAGGGGGAACAGACCUUCAGUCUGUCAUUGCAGUUUGCAGAGAUAAGCACCUUAGAUAAAACAGUUGCACUUUUAGAGUAAGCAAGAAGCAUAAAUCAUUUUCUGUAUCUUUUAUCAAGUGGUAGUUUUUUUUGUUAUGUAACUGGUAUAUAAGUACCGGGAUAGCUUCUACUACUAACUAUGGUAACAAAGCAGACUAAAAUAACUUUGAUUGUUCCAUGGAUUGA